GACAGAGGUGCCGAGCGUUAGGCGGAAUCACUGGGCUUAAAGCGUGUGUAGGCGGUUCGUUAAGUGCCUUGUGAAAUCCCACGGCUCAACCGUGGAACUGCUGGGCAUACUGCCGAUCUUGAGCCAGCUAGGGGCAACCGGAACAAACGGUGGAGCGGUGAAAUGCGUAGAUAUCGGUUGGAACGCCAAUGGUGAAAACAGGUUGCUGGGGCUGUGCUGACGCUGAGACACGAAAACCAGGGGAGCGAACGGG
rnacentral:rRNA from 1 species